GCGUGUACAAUCUUCCUUUUACAGAGGGAUAACCUGAAGAAAAUUUGGACUAAUACCUCAUAGAAUUACUUUAUGGCAUCAUAGGGUAAUUAAAGUUACGGUGGUAAAAGAUGAGUACGCGUUCUAUUAGCUAGUUGGAGUGGUAACGGCACCCCAAGGCUACGAUAGAUAGGGGUCCUGAGAGGGAGAUCCCCCACACUGGUACUGAGACAGGGACCAGACUCCUACGGGAGGCAGCAGUGAGGAAUAUUGGUCAAUGGUCGGAAGACUGAACCAGCCAUGCCGCGUGCAGGAAGACGGCCUUAUGGGUUGUAAACUGCUUUUGCAAGGGAAGAAUAAGCUCUACGCGUAGAGUGAUGACGGUACUUUGCGAAUAAGCAUCGGCUAACUCCGUGCCAGCAGCCGCGGUAAUACGGAGGAUGCGAGCGUUAUCCGGAAUCAUUGGGUUUAAAGGGUCUGUAGGCGGGUUGUUAAGUCAGGGGUGAAAGUUUGCGGCUUAACCGUAAAAUUGCCUUUGAUACUGGCUAUCUUGAAUUAUUGUGAAGUUGUUAGAAUGUGUAGUGUAGCGGUGAAAUGCAUAGAUAUUACACAGAAUACCGAUUGCGAAGGCAGAUGACUAACAAUAGAUUGACGCUGAGAGACGAAAGCGUGGGGAGCGAACAGGAUUAGAUACCCUGGUAGUCCACGCUGUAAACGAUAAAGAGCUAGCUGUUUGGUUGUGAGAUUGAGUGGCUAAGCGAAAGUGAUAAG
rnacentral:rRNA from 1 species